GAUGAACGCUGGCGGCGUGCCUAAUACAUGCAAGUCGAGCGAACGGACGCGAAGCUUGCUUCUCUGAUGUUAGCGGCGGACGUGUGAGUAACACGUGGAUACCCUACCUAUAUGUCUGGGAUCACUUCGGGACUCCGGAGCUAAUACCGGAUAAUCUUUUGCACCGCAUGGUUCAAAAGUGAAUGACGGUCUUUCUGUCACUUAUAGAUGGAUCCGCGCUGCAUUGGCUAGUUGGUAAGGUAACGGCUUACCAAGGCAACGAUGCAUAGCCGACCUGAGAGGGGGGUCGGCCGCCUGGGAACGGAGACACGGUCCUGAGUCCUACGGGAGGCAGCAGUAGGGAAUCUGCCGCAAUAGGCGAAAGCCUGACGGAGUAACGCGGCGUGAGUGAUGGAGGUCUUCGGAUCGUAAAACUCGGUUAUGAGGGAAGAACAUAUUUGGAAGUAACUGAGCAGAGCUUGACGGUACCUAGUCAGAAAGCCACGGCUAACUACGUG
rnacentral:rRNA from 1 species